rnacentral:tRNA from 1 species
GGGCCUGUAGUUCACCGGUAGAACAAGAUCCUUAUAAGAUCGAGGUAGAUGGUUCGACUCCAUCCAGGCCCA